rnacentral:rRNA from 1 species
UACGAAGGGGGCUAGCGUUGCUCGGAAUCACUGGGCGUAAAGGGUGCGUAGGCGGGUCUUUAAGUCAGGGGUGAAAUCCUGGAGCUCAACUCCAGAACUGCCUUUGAUACUGAAGAUCUUGAGUUCGGGAGAGGUGAGUGGAACUGCGAGUGUAGAGGUGAAAUUCGUAGAUAUUCGCAAGAACACCAGUGGCGAAGGCGGCUAACUGGUCCAGUACUGACGCUGAGGUGCGAAAGCGUGGGGAGCAAACAGG